GACACCCUUGUCUUGUUCCUGACUUUAGGGGAAAUGCUUUCAAUUUUUCACCAUUGAGGAUAAUGUUUGCUGUGGGUUUGUCAUAGAUAGCUUUUAUUAUGUUGAGAUAUGUUCCUUCUAUUCCUGCUUUCUGGAGAGGUUUUUUUUUUUUAUCAUAAAUGGAUGUUGAAUUUUGUCAAAGGCUUUCUCUGCAUCUAUUGAGAUAAUCAUAUGGCUUUUAUUUUUCAAUUUGUUAAUGUGGUGUAUUACAUUGAAUGAUUUGCAGAUAUUGAAGAAUCCUUGCAUCCCUGGGAUGAAGCCCACUUGGUCAUGAUGUAUGAUCUUUUUAAUGUGUUGUUGGAUUCUGUUUGCUAGAAUUUUGUUAAGGAUUUUUGCUUCUAUGUUCAUCAGUGAUAUUGGCCUGUAGUUUUUGUGGCAUCUUUGUCAGGUUUUGGUAUUAGGGUGAUGGUGGC
ensembl:lncRNA